GCCGAGUCCAGUUCCCAGGGAUGUGGGUCUGUGGUUGGAAAGCGUUGGUUUUGGGAGGCCAAGGUGUGCAGACAGUCGCCGGAGAGUCCCGGAGACUUCUGGAGCCGCGUGCCACGGAGAGCAGCACUCGUAGGCUCUCGUUGUGCAGACCUAUCUAGGAAUCAGGCGCUGUGCCCACGUCCUGGGCUGGAACUGGGUCCUGUGUGUUCAGGAGACUGAGCAAAGAUCUGACUGAGUGCCCAGUGCACCCAAACACUGUUGCUCCUGCCCCUCCCAGAGAAAACUCACGAGUGAGUUUGUGAAACCACGCUGCUCUUUCCUUUUAUAUUAAUGAGCAAUAUUUAAUUAAAAGCUAAUUGAAUAUUCCAGACGGCAAUUAUCUUGCAAUAG
rnacentral:lncRNA from 1 species